rnacentral:snoRNA from 1 species
GCAACUUCUACCCAUUGGUUGGUCGAAUUAAUCCCUUUUUCGACACGACUAAGAUUCAAAGUUGCAAAAUAAAAGGCCAGACUUGACUUACCAUGUACUAGACUGCCCUCCAGGUCAGUGCAGAAGUAGAAGAGUCACAAUG